rnacentral:lncRNA from 1 species
CUUUUGUCAGUCAGGUGUUUAGAGCGCACAUUGCUUGGUUUUUCAGGUGUGCGCAGGUAUUGGUGUUCUCCGUGCCGUCCGUGGCCACAAGAAGUAGACCAUUUAUUUAGCUUUAUUAUUUUAUAUAAAUAUUUGUUUUCUUUCCUGGAUCAGCUGAUGGUCGACAAUAUCACUAGCCUGAAGCUAGACACCAAUGCGCAUCCAACAAGAGCAGUGUGAGUAUGCCCUGAUCCCCUGCAACAUUGGCUGUGGUCACAUGGUGCUGUGAAAGGCCUUGGGCUGUCACCUGGAAAAGGCCUGUCCAAACAACAUGUCAAUGUUCCCCACAUGCUGCCGCUCUAUGGGCCCCUCAGAGCUACAGAAAAAUCAUCUUCCAGGUCCCAAAAGGCAAGACUCUUGUUUUCUCUGAAGUUCGGUGCACACUUAAGGGGACCACAAAGAAGGUUGAGAGGCCAUGAGAACAGCAGCCAUGUCAGCCACCUUCAGCUCCUGCUGCGUGCCGCCACCACCAACAGCAGUGACCUGCAGUUCUCCCCACUGAUAGCUUUUGCACCAGGCAAGGAGAACGGGGCUAUGGUUGAGCAGCUGCCCCAGCUCAGAGAGGCUGUAUCUGACUUGAAAAUCCACUGGAACAUGGGGCUGUCAGAGGGGGAGGCGGAUGGAAGGGACAGAUGGGAUAGCUCAGCAGCUCACAGUCUGCGAGAUUAUGACCAGGUGACCAUCCUCAAGGACAUAAGGCUGCAGAUAUAGACACACUGCAGCAGAGGGUCCAGAUAUUGGAGAACAUCAUCUCCGUUCUGAACAGGGAGGUGGAAAAGACCCAGCUGAGCGUGGAGGCUUUGGAGAGGGAGAACCAGAGCAGCAGGACAUGAUUCACCAAUUAGAAAUAAAGGUACAGUAUAUUGUGAGUCAUAGAACACAGUCAUCUUUGUGGACCAGUUAUAUGACCUAAUGCUGUUUCAUUCCAG